UUUUUUCAACCCCUCUGAAAGUGAAUUAAGAGAGCAAGCUAGCAGGUUGGCUCAAACAUAUAAUCUAGAUGUGAUGGAGAAUCUAAUCCCAGACAAACCCAAAUGUGGAGCCUGUGGAAGAGUGGGUGCAAAACGCUGCUCCCGCUGUCAGGGAGAGUGGUAUUGCAACAGAGAGUGUCAGGUGAAACACUGGCCCAAACACAAGCCUGCAUGCAAACUCAUGGCAGAGGCCAUA